AGCUUCAUUGCAGUUACAGUUCCACCGGGUAACUGCCUCAUUUUAUGGUAUAACCAUGUCAUUUGACUUCGCUAUCUUGUUUUGGAUUUAAUUUAGUCCCAACCAACUGAUACGGUUCCCAACACUCAUAAACAAUUGGAGCACGCAUUAAAAGUCUUUUAAAUCAAAACAUACUUGAAGUUUGGCUCAGUGAGACACCAGCUGCAGUCGAAGAAGCAAAAUAUAGAAAAGAAAUGUGCUGUCAUCUCAGAUUGUUUAAUCAACAGUAUCUGCAAUAUUUUCAGUUCAUUGUUCACUGUACAACAACCUCAACCUCCAUCCCCAAAAGGGUGAAAGCGGAGGAGAUAAAGGGCCCUAAACCUAUUUAAUUUGCAAGCUUGCUUCUUUUGUACUCUCUUCUAUGGGACAGCAUAAAUAUACAUGUUUGGUACCACAAAUGUCUUGUUGAAGGAUCAGCUAUACAUUGAAUCACUUGAAGCUAGCUUCCACGAACAAAUGACUCCUUUCAUGGCUCAGGGUUGGUUAUAAAAUUCGAUCUUAGGCACUCAACAUUUUACAAACAGCUGUAGUGACCAGAGAUGCUAUGGUGAAGAAGGCCAAAAGAUUCACUGGGAAGUAAGCUUCAUCUUUGAAACACUAGACUCGAGGCCGGGCAGAGGUAAUAUUGAUCAGCUGAACGACAUCGACAAUGGAUGAAGUUCUGCUCAAUAAGCUAUUUUAUUUCCCAAGUCCCCAACCCCCACCCUUCCACGGGAUCCUUAUUGCACAAAUCAGCUUCCUUCAAAGUUACAAAGAUAAACAGAUUUACAAGAAAACCCAGUAAACAAUGAAACUGGAAAGUUUCCCGUGAAUGUUGUAUCUUUUAAUUUUUUCAACCUCGAAUGUUGUAUCUGACAAAUACAACAUCAUGCUUCACCUGUGCGACCUUCCAAAGGAGGGCAUGGGUUUAGAUCUAGUGAAGGAACCAGUUUCACAUGAUCCCUUAGGAGUUGCUGAGACACUCGAUUGGCCAGCACCGACUGCCCAUCGAAAAGCUCUCCUGUCGUAGGCCUCCCGAACUGCUUUCCAAGAGCAUCAUUUUGAGAGGAUGCCAAUUCCCGGAAAGCAUGAGAUCCUGACGGUGUCCCUCGUAAAACAUCAGGAUCCCAGUACGAAGGCCCAUUCAUAUAAGGACUCUGUGGAAGUGGUGCUGCCUCCUGUAAGUAAACUGACUGAUUAAGGUGAUGAAAUGGGAUAGCACCAGUCCCUCCAGAGAGAGGUGUUGAUGAGCCAGACAUGGUGAUAGGACUUGAUAUGGGUGAAGGAGACAUCCUCCCAUUUAGGUGUUGAGGUGACCUUGGAUGUAAAAGAGGGCUACCAAUCGGCGAGACAGGGCAUGAUAUGUUCCUUGUAAUGUUGAUAUCACUGGAGAUCAAAGAGGAAUAUCAGUAAUCACAAAGAUAAGUACUGCCUCCAUUCUUUUUCUCUAUUAUAUUCAGAAUUAUAACUUGAAUGGCAAUUGCUUUCUUCAGAAAGAGACUCAAUUAAAAAUCAAAGAACUAAAGAAAUUUGAAAUAAUCAAGAGAAAAGAACCUGCAGUGAAAAUUAGAUUUUGAAACUCUGGAUGAAUGGAUUGCAAGUCUUUCUGAUUCUGACGUAGGUGAGUUCCUUGCCUGUCCAAUGCCCUAAGAUUCAUAAAGAACACACCCGUAAGUUUAAACCAUGCCACAUAAGUCCAAGAUGAAGAUGUAUAAUGUUUUCGAUCUACUGUAAGUUUCACUUGGAAUUACUUUUUUGUGCAUUCAGACAUCAUGAAUUUAAUAUGCAGUUAUCAAUCUUUUGCACUCCCUUCUUUUCGGAUAUGCUGCACCAUGAGCAUCCUCCAUCUAGAUCUCCUUAUGGAUACCGACACAAGUCAAUUUCAUUUCCUUUAAGCAUAAAAGUUUCACUUCUAUUUUCUUUCUGUCUCUCUUCUUUCAAGGGUGAGCAACUUACUCUCAAAUGAAUCAAGAAGCUAAAAGCAAGUCAAUUUUUUUUUUCAAAGUAGAGGUUCACUUCUAUUUUCUGUCUCUUUUUUCUAAGAGUGAAGCAUCUUACUCUGUUAUGAACCAAGAAGCUAACAAGAACUAGGCUCACCAAUCUCGAUUACCUUCAAGGAAAGCAAUGACAAAAGAGAUGGCAUUCUAACAUAAAACACAUUUAUGCUUAAGAAGGCACAUGCACAGACAUCAGAGGUAGCUCACUGCUUUUGUUUGAAUACAGGGGAAGAGAAGCAAGGAUGGGGAAUGACAGGACUAAAAUUUUUAAGUUUGGUCAUCCAAAUGAACCUAGCUUGUUAAUCUCGUCAAAAGAAGCAGCUU
rnacentral:lncRNA from 1 species